rnacentral:misc_RNA from 1 species
UUUUCUUCUUCUUCUUCUUCUUGGUUUUAGGAGAAAAAUACGUAACUAUACUCUGGAUUAGGAGAAAAGGAAGAAGAAAGCUGCAGAAGCUACACAGCUAGGGCUUAACUUAAGAGAAUAUAUACUGUGGUUUUCGUUUUUUGUGGGCUUGCAACACUUGAAAAAGAGGUUAGCUUACAUGGGCUGGGUUUAAUUGUUUUUUGGAGCCCAAAUUCUAAAAC